rnacentral:rRNA from 1 species
UAGGGAAUCUUGCACAAUGGGCGAAAGCCUGAUGCAGCAACGCCGCGUGGGGGAUGAAGGCCCUCGGGUUGUAAACCCCUUUCAGCAGGGACGAAAAUGACGGUACCUGCAGAAGAAGCUCCGGCCAACUACGUGCCAGCAGCCGCGGUAACACGUAGGGGGCGAGCGUUGUCCGGAUUUAUUGGGCGUAAAGAGCUCGUAGGUGGUUCAGUAAGUCGGGUGUGAAACCCCCGGGCUCAACCCGGGGACGCCACCUGAUACUGCUGUGACUGGAGUCCGGUAGGGGAGCGUGGAAUUCCUGGUGUAGCGGUGAAAUGCGCAGAUAUCAGGAGGAACACCAGCGGCGAAGGCGGCGCUCUGGACCGGUACUGACGCUGAGGAGCGAAAGCGUGGGGAGCGAACAG